AGGAUUUGUUUUGGUACGCCAGACUGGGACAGUGUAGAGGGGGGAGAGUGAGUCACUGCGCCCUCCUGUGGAGGAUGAUCAAACAGGCCAAGACAAACGGGAUUAGAGGAUAAUGGUCACGUGAGAACGCGAGCGUUCUUUAUUUCCACCGGUUGCGUGCUUGAAGAACGCACGUGACAACUCGCCAUACGCUUAGUCAGAAAUCACCAAAGGAGCUGAAUCACAGAGGUCACGAUGUGGACAUGAUGGCAGACAACACUAAUGUCAAUGUGACAGAAAAACUCAGACAGAGCAAAUACACUCUUUAAGAGUCAUAUAUUAAGAUGUCACAGAGCUGGAGAAUGUAGAUAUGAUGGCAGAGGACACUGAUGUUAAGGUGAAAGUAAUGAACAGACAGAGCAUAGACACUAUUGCUAACUUCAGUUCCGAGGACUCAAGAUUUAAAUGUUGGUGUCAUGAUGUUUUCGAUCCAAACCGAAGACCAGAGAAAUGCAGUCCAGGACUGGAUGAGACAAUGUGUGAGUAUUCAUAUGAACAAACACAUCACUUAAACUGAGAACAGAAUUAUGCUUUUCUAAAAAUAAAAGCAGUAUAAUUCGGGAUGAGUUUAUUAAUUCGAUUUAUUACUCAAAAUUUGAAAUGAAGACA